GGAGAAAUAAAGAUAGGAGGUAAUCCAUUUAUCAAUCUGUUCUACAAGAAAGACUUCUUGCUCUCUUUUUUUCUAUUUUUCUUUUUUGACCAUGGAAGGUGCAAGGAUGCUUGUAGGGGGGGAUCCUAGUUGGUUCUCCAUCAACUAGUGUUCUUCAAAGGUACCAUUUUCCAGUCAAAGCACACUCAUUUUUUUCUCCUCUCCCUCAGUCUAUUUAAAGGUCGAGGAAGAAACAACAGUUUCUCUACAACAUCAAAACAUGGUUUUUCACAAGGUUUCUCCUACCAUUUGCAUUCUUCUUUCAGUUUUACUUCUCUUUCUCUCUCAGGAAACCCUAUCGCGGGAAUUGAUCCAAGUUGCUCCAUACGAAGAUAAAACUGUGCACUUGGAUGGCCCGAUAUCUGGAAGCUGCACCGGUCAAGACAAAAGUUCACUGGAGGCAUGCCCACCUCCUGCCCGUAUCCUCGGUUCCCCUCCCACCUAGUAAUCUGGGUGAUGCCCUAAUGUCUCUUCCAUCAGUUACUGGGAGAUUUAAAUGGGAACAAGAAGGAAUGAUUUCCUCGGAUGUUGUUAUGGCUUCGAAGAGAAGACUACACUAUGUUUUCAUGUAAUGAAUAAAAUGUGUGCUGCUUUCAGCCCUGGUAGAUAGGUUUGACUAAAAGCCAACCUCUCAAAACCAUCCCUAUUUCAAUGAAGGGCCCCAAAUGUUUCU